GUUAAAGGAUGGGAAAAUGUGAGAAGAUUGUCAUUGAUGCAAAACCAAAUUGAAACUCUGUCAGAGGUUCCCACAUGCCCUCAUCUCCUCACUUUAUUUCUUGACUUUAAUCAGGAGUUGGAGAUGAUCGCGGAUGGCUUCUUCCAACUUAUGCCUUCUCUCAAAGUUUUGAAGAUGUCAAACUGUUCGAAUUUGAAAUUACCUGUUGGGAUGUCAGAGUUGGGUUCAUCACUAGAACUUCUCGAUAUUUCAGAAAACAGCAUAACAGAGUUACCGGAAGAGUUAAAGAAGUUGGCAAAUCUGAAAUGUUUGAAUUUGGGGUGGACAAGGGAGUUAAAUAAAAUUCCACGGCAACUAAUAUCAAAUUCUUCAAGGUUACGUGUGUUGAGAAUGUUCGCUACUGGCCGGUUCAAUUUUCAUGAAGCACCAGAAAACAGCGUUUUAUUUGGUGGGGGUGAAGUUUUGAUACAGGAAUUGCUCGGUUUGAAAUAUUUAGAGGUAUUGGAGUUGACCUUGGGAAGUUAUCAUGCUCUCCAAAUUCUUUUGAGCUCAAAUAAGUUAAAAAGUUGUAUUCGAUCUCUUUUCCUCGAGUUGACCGGAGAUACAGCGUCAAUUAUUGACGCUACGGCUUUCGCAGAUCUAAACCACCUCAAUGAAUUAUGGAUUGAUAAUGGUAUUGAGUUGGAAGAGUUGAAGAUUGAUUAUACGGAGAUAGUACGAAAAAGGCGGGAACCUUUUGUUUUCCGCAGCCUUCACUGUGUUACUAUGAUUUCGUGCCGUAAAUUGAAAGAUUUGACAUUCCUCGUUUUUGCUUCAAACCUCAAGUCUCUUCGGCUACGCAAUUGCUAUGCUAUGGAAGAAAUAAUCAGCGUCGGAAAAUUUGCUGAGACUCCUGAGAUGAUGGGACGUAUAAGCCCUUUUGAAAAUCUCCAAAUGCUUGAUUUACAAGGUUUGCCACAUUUGAAGAGCAUCUUCUGGAAGCCAUUGCCUUUCACUCAUCUGAAAGAAAUGGAGGUACUUAGGUGCGAUCGGCUUGAAAAGCUUCCACUCGAUUCCAACAGUGCAAAGGAGCGCAAAUUUGUUAUUCGUGGAGAAGAAGACUGGUGGAACCGACUUCAAUGGGAGGAUGAAGCCACUCAAAUUGCUUUUCGUUCCUGUUUUAAAAGUGAUGCUUUAUUUAUAUCUUAUUCGUGAAAAGUGAUUUAAUUUCCUGCCAAAAGACGAACGAGAAGAACAUUAGAGUCAAACUAAUGCUCACAUAAAUUUCCCAUAAGAAUAUAUAAUUAGACUGGAAUGCACACCUCUAGAUUGAACAGAAUUAAAGCUGAGAAGAUAUUGAGUAUAGUAGCCCUCUUUACAGAAAAUGACACGAAAGUUAAUUUAGAAAGAUAUAUUCUUGAUUAAUCCAUUUUCUGAAGUUUUUAUUUUGUAUGGUCAAUUAUACCUUCAUACUAAAAAUUUCUGAAGUUAUAAAUUAGUGCAACUUGACAAUUUUUACUGAUGAUAUCUUCUAUUUUUCCUUUUUUUUUUUUUUUUCACUUUCAUAGACUGGCAGCGGAUCCUGCGGCACCAAUUUGAGAGAAUAUACUGACACUACUUCGAACAGCAAGCAGAAUAUGUCUACGGCAAAGGCAAUGCAGUCCUCAUUUUGGCUUGAGAUGCAGUAAUCAUCGAAGAGAGUUUCCUUGUGAAACUGGGCAACACAUUGAAUCCCUUCGCCACUGAGAAGGUUGUGGAGGAAGUAAGCUUUCUCUCCAGUGAGGAAGAGGUGGCAUAUACCUUCCCCAUUUUGUCGAGGGCAGGUAGGAAUCUUUUUUCUAAGAGAUUUACUUCGUUCUCUGUAAGAAAUGCUUUGAACUUCAUCCCUCUGUCUCUAUCCUCACUUAUCAGGAAAUAAGUUGAAAGCACUAUGAAGAGAGAGAGAGAGAGAGAGAGAGAGAGAGAGAGAGAGAAUUAAGAUAUAGAGACAAGAAAAAUAUUAGACGUUGAUCUUACAAACUAAUACUUCAAGCAGUAUCCUAGAAAGCUAAAAACUGCAAGAUGGCUUGAAAUUUGAAAAGAGCACGUGCUUUUCCUCCUUAACUUGAGAAAAUGUUUAAUAUAGUGCACCUUACAGAAGCAUUUAAGCAAUUAGAACUUUGCACAAAAACAUCAAGAAGACUAAACAAGUCAGAUGCAGUGCAUUUGUCCAAGCACAAAUUGCAUUUUGUCCUCAACUUUAAUAUUUAUUGAUGAGAAUCAAUACAGGUCCCUCAUUUGUUAUAGAAAGCUUUCUUUCUUGUAGUCUCACCAGUUAAUUCACAGGUCUAUAAUCAUCUUGCAAAGUUAAGGGCAUUUCUUUCGAUCUAAAGUCUUUGCAUCACCACCUCAUCACACGCCAAGCCAAUAUUCCAUUUACCUCUACAACAAAAAGUUUUAAUUAAACAAUCCUAAUGCACGCAGCCAAAUAAAAUGCAGUAAGAAUAUUCAACUUAAAAAUCUGAAAGCCAACUUGGUGAAUUGCCUCCUUAGGUGAAGUUCCAUGCUUUACUAUAGUUGACAGAACUCAGCAAAAGCUUCCAUACAACAGAUUUUGAAAAUGAUGAUGCCAACAGAUACUUAUUCAAUCCAUUGAAACUCCAAAGGUUCAUUGUUCAUAGAAGUUUACAGAGUUUUGGUCAUCAAAUAGCUCAGACCUAAUCCCAAACAAAAAACGAGUGAAAAUUAGAUCACGAGCAGCUAAUUGUAAAUUCUAACUUAACUCUUCAUCUCCUUUGUAAACAAGAAACAAAAUGGAGACACGCAAAAUGAAUAUGGAGAAAAUUUGAACUCAAAUGAAAUGAGGGCACAAAAGCAAACAAAUGGCAUGCACCAAAAAACCAAGCCUCAAUCAAAAACUAAUUAACCAUUAAGAAAAAAAUUGCCCAGAGAAUGAACUCCAAAUUCAGGAGUCAAGCAAGAACCUUUCAUUAUUUCAGAAGCUCCUGUACAAAUUAAUAAGUUAUGCUCUUUGGAAGCAAACCUAAAUUCCAAGAGAAACAGAACCCAAAAAAAUUUGCAAUUAUACGCAAAGGAAGUGAAGCACAGGAUUCUAUCACACAUAGGAAUUGUAUAACAAGAGAUCGAUAUAUCGAAUUAGAAAACUCAAUUCGAAUUUGUGUCAAAAAUCAAAAUUAGAAGAUUUCACAUUUCGAGAGGAACAAGCAACAGAUGAAGUUCAAAAUUUCAGCCAUAACAUGCUAAAAAUGCUGCACUUAACGGUUCAUUUUCAUGGAUUUUCUCGGGAAACAAACAGAAAAUUACGGUUUAGAGAGUUGACUGACCUUUUGGCUUUUGAAAUUGAGAAGAUCGCACGCCAAAUUGGAAGAGGGAAAGUGAAAGUGCGAGUUUUAAUAUGGGUAUUAGAUAAGGAAAUUUUAUUAGGUUGCGAGGGUAAAAAAGGAAAGAGAUAUCAUUGUUUUAUUAUCGAUAAUUAUUAAAUUUUUUUCCAAAAAAAAAACAGGCAAGGAUAUUUUAUUGUCAUUUGCAACCUUUAAUUUUUUUAAAUGCUAUUAGAAACACAAGACAACAAAGAAAUACUUAUUUUUUUCUAAAACUAAAAUCAACUGUUUAGGGCCCGUUUGGUAUUGUUUCUAAAUUUAUAUUUUCUGACAAUAAAAAUGAAAAUGAAAAUGAUGUUUUGCAGUUGCUGUAUUUUAAAUUUAAGUAUACGUUUGGUAUCAUUUUCUAUAUCCUAUAUUUUAAAAUUAAAAAUAAUAAUAUGUGUUUGGUAAACACAUUUGAAAAUAAUAAAAACAGAGAAUAUGCGUUUGGUAAUACUUUUUUUAAAAAGAGUUUUUACUAGUAUUUACGUCAUAUUUAUAGUUAUAAAAUAAUUAUUUAGCUAAUACAUACACAAAUACAACAUAAUAAUUUAAACAAAAUUAUUAUAAAAAAAUUACAUGAUAAUAAAGUUUUAGAAUUAGCAUUAAUUAAAAAAAAGUUUUACAUUGUCAUUAUUUUUACACCAUAAUUAAGAUAUAUAUUACAACACAUGAUUUAAACAAAAUAAUUAUAAAAAAAUUACAUGAUAGGCAUUAUGCAUUACGCAUGUAAUCAUGCCACAUAAAAGCUGCAAUUCUAUCUCUUAUAGCAUUCAUCUUUGCGACACUUGAAGGAGAUAAAUCAAUAUUAGUAAGUGACCUACUAGUGUCUCCUUCUUCGUUGGUAACCAAAUCUUGCACAUCAAAGUCUCCAAAUAACCUAUCACAGGCAAUAAAUUCAAAUUGUGAAUCCCAUCUAAAGCAAUAAAUUGAAAUUACAGAUUGUUUGAUUGGAUUGAAUCCUAUCCUGGGCAAAGCUUGAAAAAACUUUAUUUCUCUCUAGUAACAAAAGUCCUAUUUGCCUAAUGCAUUUUCUCUGUAAAAAAAAAAAAAAUUGGAGUGACAUGCAAUAAAUUCAACUUGUGCAUCAUCAACAAAAUGGAAUUUGGAGUAAAAUCAACAUCAUGGCAAUGACAAUCGUGAACAAUAUCAUCUUUACAUGCUAUUAAAAACAAUUAAAAUCACUCAAAUAAUUUCUGAAAUUUUUAUUAAAUUCUCAGGUUUUUUUUUUUCAUUCUAAAUGUCAUAUAUACAAAUUCAUUACUGUCCAAAAACAUCCUACUUUAAGAAAUAUUUAAAAGUUAAUUAAGUAAAAAAUCUUGUAAAUUAUAAUGUCUUUUUUUUUUUUCGUUUUAAAUUGGUUUCCAAAGAAUGAUGUCUAUGCUUACAGAAGCAAAACAUGCCAAACAGCAGCAGCGACAUUUUGUGAAUUGUUUUUAACUUAAACAAAACAAAUACCGGCAAGUGACAGAUCCGAGAGAGCAACAGCAGCUGGCGUGAAGACGAGCAGCAACGGCUGAGCAGAGCAACAGCGGAAACAGAGCAGCAGCGAAGACGAGCAGCAGCGGAGCAGAGCAGCAGCAGAAACAGAGUAGCGGCGGCUAUGGCGGAAACACAGCAACGACAGUGGUUGAGAGUGCAGAUUUGCUGAGGAAAGGGAGAGAGUGCAGAUUUAUUGCAACUGAAUCAAGAAGGCUGCGGGGGAAAGGGGAAGAGAGAGAGGCAAUGAAGAGAUAAGGAGGAGAGAGUGGAUCGGGAGAAAUAAAGAGAGAGAAAGAUGUUGGAUGAAGAUAAGGGGAGGGAGAGAGUGCAGAUUUGCUGCAACUGGAUGAAGAAAGUUGGGGGGAAGAGAGAGCGGCAGUGAAGAGAUAAGGAGGAGGUCACGAUUUUUCUUUUGUUUUUUAAUUCAUUUUUAGGUUUAGGUGGCGUUUGUUUUUUUGUCUGAAAUCUGAAUAGACUUGAAUUAGUCUGAAUUCUGAAUAGGUCUGAAUGUCUGAAUCUGAAUAAUAUGUUUGUUUUUUCGUCUGAAUCUUGAAAAAUAAGUAUUAAGUUGUUUGUUUUUUUCAACUUAAAAAGCUGAAAAUAUAUACUUUUACAUUUGUAUCCUUAUUAAAUUUGAAUGUCAAAUAAAUAAUAUAUUAAAUACCACAAUAUUUUAACAUUUAUAAGUAAAACUAUAUUCAAGUGAAUACAUAAUUAUUUUAGAAUUUUAAUAUAUAAAAUACCAUAAAUUUCAAAUUUUAUCGUAUAUAAUAUAAGAAAGAAAAAACAGGGAUAUUUUUAUGUGGGGUAGAUAUCUAUGGGUGAGUUUUGGGAUAGACAUGAAAAAUAAAUUAUAAAACAUGGAUAUUUUUGACAUUAGCAAGUAAUUGACUUAAUUUAGAUUUCUCCAUUAAGUAAAAAGCCAAAAAAAUUAGCUUAUUUUAUUAAGUCAAAAUUAUUUAAAAAUUCUCAUUAAGUUAUAAAAACAAACAACUCUAAUUAACUUAAUUAAUUAAGUUAAGUCACUUUAAGUCAUUAAGUUAAAAAACAAACGCAACCUUAGUCUGUAAAAUUUGGAGAACAUGUUUAACUUGUUUUCAGUUGUAUAGUUAUAAUAAUGAAUCCGAAUUUUGUGUUUUGUAAUUUGUUUUGUGAAAAAAAUCCACCAAACAUGUUUUAUGUGUGUAUUAUAAAAAUGAAAACGCAAAUAUGGCUUGAAAAACGGUACCAAACGGGCCCUUAACUUCUUAUUUCAUAAUCCAACUCCAUUACUAAGUUAAAAAAAAUUGUUUUAAAAUUACUUGAGUCAUAUCCAAUAGACCAACAAAGUAAUCGUUUUUAUUUUUAUUGAUUUUUGCAGGAAAUUAGUGGCUUAAAAAUACUGAAAGCUAUUGUAAAAAUCUUUAUUAUCAACCUCAUUGUUUUUUUUUUUUUUUGGGGAAGAGAAUUCAAUUUUUUUUUUUAAUGAAUAUCGCUGUUUCGUUUGAGUUGGAUGUGAAUUCAAAUUCAUUUGAGUUGGAUGUGAAUUCAAAUUCAAAUAUUCUUUGUUUUUCAAUUCUGAACUCGAUUUCUUUUUCUCAAGAAUGUUAUGUAGAAAUGAUUUUUACUAAAUCAUUUUUGAUGAAUUGUUUAAAUUAAACAAUUGGAAUAAGAAUUGUAACGAUUUAUCAUAAGCGCGCUAAUAUGAUAACUUGUUUUACGAAAGAUUAAUUAAUCAAUUAAUAUUAAAUUAUAUAUUAGUCAAUUAUAUAUGUGUUACAUUUGUCAUGGUUUGUGCGUGAUACUACAUAAUUUCUAAAAGAAUAUAGUAAAAACACGUUAAAAUGUUAUUUUAAUGAAUAAAAUUUUAUAAUUUUAUUAAUUAGGUGACACAAUAAUAAAUGGAUUUCUGUAAGAAUUGAGUUUCUUGAGAUAAUUAUUACAUAAGGAGAAGUUUAGUUGGUUCAAUUUUGACAUGUUAAGAAGAGCAUCACAGCACAGAAAACACAAAUUGCCACUUCCACUAAUAAAAGAUACCUGUUUGAAAAGUAAUUAUAAACUAUCUUCUUUGUGUUAUUUCUCAAAACUUUUGUGGCACAAAUGUUAUUUCCAUUGACAACAGUACGAAAUACCACCCCUUUCACUUGAGCAGGAGCAAAGCAAAGGUAUGAUGAGCUAUCUCUGUAUAAUUGAAACGCCAUUACUAAACGAUUCUUGAUGAUGGGAGCCACCGUGCCAGCUUUGUCGCUGAUUUGGUAUUAUUCUUAACUUGCAGAUAGUUGUGGAUAUGAUAUGCAAAAGGUAAGGACUAUAUCUUCUUGAUGGAGGCCUCUGAUUUUUUCCCUUCUAUGUAAUUUAGUAAAUCGCAUUUUCCUUUGUGAUUGAUAUAUCAUACCAAAGUCAAGUCUUAAAUACUGCUGUCAUAUGUUAAGGUUCAACUUCCAUUUUGAUUAACGUCCAUCUGCUGCUGCUUCCAAAAGUGAGAAUGAGAUACUUUGGUUAAUUUCAGUAGUUGAACCCAAUAGAGUACUUUAUUUAGAUCUUCAUGGUUCAAAGGCCUGAAAAAACUUGCCGGUAUUUGGAAAAUGACAUUCUGUGCUUUUAUUUAGACUUAUUAUUUAAGUGAUAAAAACUCCCGUAACCUGCUGUCAAGAAAAUUUCAGAUUGUUAAAAGACAACAUUUUGUUUCGGCCAAAAAUGUUUGUUUCGAUUAAAGACUUGAACCAUUUUCAUUUAACCUUGAUUGUGAUGCUUUACAUUAUGCAUGUUCCUCUCAAUCAAUAAAAGUUGAGGUCAUGAUUUUAUAUUUCUAUUUUGUAACUUGAAAUAAUUGGUCUGCCUGUUUCUGUAGCUUGAUAACAUGAAUUUUUCCUUCUGAAGUUAAUUUGAUCAAUAAAGUAAUUCUUCGGAGAUGAUAUGCCCAUUCUAUAGUCAUUUUCUUAGCUAACAUGUUUUUUCUUCACUCUUCAGAGCAUGUCUAAACUAAUUGAUCGCUCAGCGGAGACUUUGGGUGAGAAGACAAAAUUUCUUAGUAAAUCCUCUGAAAAGGUAUGCAUAAUUCUCGAGUAUUAAAUAACCAUUGGUCAUAAUUUUUGUUCUUUUUUUGGAGAUCGUUAAAAGUGGUUGAUGACCUAUUUUUUACUAUCAUAGAGGGAUCAUGAAUUCCUUUUCUUUUCUGUGGCUCGGCAACACUUUCGGGCCAAACUAAGGAAAUCUAUUUUAGGUAAUGUAAAAACCAGUUGUAGGAUGUAAUAGUUUAUUAUGCCCUGACAAUAACUUUUUGUAUAAUUGUCAGUUUAAUGAAUACAAGAGGAACUCUGUUGGCAAAUUCAUCCAUGAUAGAAUAUAGAUGCUAAAAUUAUUUAUGCAUACCAGUUGCCUUAACUAAUUUUUCUCAACACUGGUAUUGAACAGGAAAAUGAAUAUGCAAUUUGUAUAUUGUGCCAUUGUGGAGAAUUUGGAUAUUCUUAUUUAAGUAUCAAGGAGAGUAUUUGCCUCAUCUUUAAACAAUGAAUCUUUGAGAAAUGAGGAGUGGGUGAUUGGCAGUGUCUUCAUGUAAAUGUUCAUUUAUUUGUAUUUUGAACUAUUACGAGAAUCUUUGUGUGCCAAAUUAGUAAUACAAAUGUUCAGAUGAUUUUUCCUGUUGAUCAUGCGCGUGUAUCUGCACACAACCAUUGUGUACCACUUUAUUCUGAUGCGCAAAUAUCUGUAGUUUAGAAGAAAAGAAAUAAUAAUCAUAUAUUAUUGCUUGGUUCAUGAUUAUUAAACGAUUAUGGCUUUAGAAAAUCCACAAAUCCUUUGUGUUCAUAUAUGAAUGUGCAAAGUUUGCUAUAUCUUAGAUUACCUUCUUCCAAGAUAACAAGUUCAUAUAUUUUUUUUAAUCCUUUUUCAUCACAGUUGAAUUUCAAGUGUAAGUUUUGUUAUUAAUAGCUGGUGUCCUGUUAUUAUGAUUUCAUAAACAGUGAGCGGAUAUGUGCUCUACUUUUGGAGGGCCUCCACAUGAAAGAAAAUUGCAACAAUUGAAUUCUUCUGGAGGUUAUGGUAUUUAAUUUAUUUUCUCAGCUUGUUGAAAGACUAAUAUAUUUCCUUCAGUACGCACGGCGUGGUGGGAAGGGUUUUUAUUGAAAGAAUUAUGAUAUUUCUUAGACUUUGUUUUGGAAGGGGGUGGAGGGAUUUCUCAUCCAUAUAUGGUUACUUGAUUAGCUUUUGACUGUAUUGUCUCCGUCGUGCAAAGGAAAAUCCAAAUACUAACGAAGGGGAAUUGCUUAGGCACCCAAAAGACAGAAAUGAAUUACAGAAGGAAGUUUUUGCUGCUUUAUUUAGUGCUGCUGAGAAAUCUGAUGGAUUUCCUGAAAUUACGGUGAAGACGGAGUGGAGGUCCAACGCAUUAGGAAAGGUGGUGAGUGAACCGCCGGAGGAAUUAGUACCAGAAUACAAGGCUAAUGUGGUGCACUUGCAGCAAGAUGACCAGACCUGUAUGUGCUCUUAUAUUAACUAUAUUGUUGGAUUUGUGAGUGUGUACAUUUUUGUGUGUAUACUCACUUUUGUAUUUAUGCAUAUUAACGUGUGUAGGAUUCUUGAUUUCUGCCACUUACUGGAGAACUAGUGGAAAGCUUUAUACUGAUAUAUGUGCUAUAACUAAUGGAAACUACGAUAUGAAUAUUUUCUCUCACCUGGAGAACUGUAUAACAGAUAUAAUUUGUGGCUCUGGAAUACUGAAGAUUCUGCAAUAACUAAUGGAAAAUAUGAUAUGAAUAUUUUUUCUCACCUGGAGAACUUUGUAACAGAUACAUUUUGUGGCUCUGGAAUGUCUAAAGAAUGCUUCAGUUUAGAUCAAAUAUCUUUUAGUUAGAAAAGAUAAAAUUCUCUGAAUCUGAAAGACUGAAACAUUUUGCAUAUUUUGUGAAAGGGUAGUAUCUGUAGAUACUAGCUCAUGCAUUGAGGUAAUAUCAGUGUUAAAGAAAAACAACAAUAAUUUAUUAUACAAAAUUAGGUUCACUUGCUUUAAAUGCUGGUCUGAUCAACCAUAUCAACCUGUAAUGGUUCUGCAGAAAUAUAUAUACGGGGAGAAACUAGCUAAAUUUUCCUUUCACUUAUGGGUUUGGUCUUUUUUUCCCCUAUUUUUCAGCUUUCCUUCUCCUGAAGUAUGUUAACAAUUGCAGAUAAUGACGAAGAGGACCGCUUCCAGGCUCUUUGUAGAGCUGUGAUGGAAUAUAGGGGCACAAUGAAGGAAUAUUGUAAGGCUGUAGGUACUUUCUCUCUUGUCAUUUAUGUUUUCUCACACAUUUUGUAUAUGCCCUGAACAUGCAGCUUUGUAUGUGUCAAUUGCCUUUUACAUUUUAAAAGCCAUAAAGUAAGAAUACAGUUCCUUGUCAGGCUAUUGAUGCGUUCGCUCAGAAGGGUCAUGUUCAAGCAGGAAAACUUCUAGAACAUGUAAGGUUUCCAUCUACAGCCAUCCAUUGACAGUGUCAAAGUAUUUGGCUGCAGCUUCUAGAAGCUACAUCUAGAAGCUUUGAUGCAGCAAAUGUUGAAGGCACCGCCAAGGAGAAAAAGAAGGAAGAAUGAAGAAGAUGUUGCAGAAGUUGAUCUUGACAAAUGAUGGUUGGAACGCCAAAAUGGAAGAAAGAAAAAAGGUUGGAACACGGCUUUGAAGAAGCCACGAGAAGAAUAAAGAAAAUAUUAAAAUAAUAGCUAAUUUUGGCUAUAUAAAGGAAGCUCCCCUUUUUUUGGUUUGUGUAUCCAAUCCUCAGUUUCUCUUCUUCAUUCAGAGAGUGUUUCUUUGGGGUGUAUUUGGGGAUUAGGUGAGAGAAAAUUAUUUCUGAAAGAGUGGUUGUAAUAAUUUUCCACAUAGUGAAUAUUUUUUCUCUGGUUGUCUUUUUGACAACGGCCGUGGUUUUUCUCCAUAUUUGGAGUUUUCCACGUAAAUCUUGUGUUGUGGGAUUGAUAUUAUUUUUCAUUUAAUUUUUCUUGUUAAUUUGUUAAUUGAAAAAUUGCUUGGAGAGAUCCUGGGAGGAAGCUCAAUUUCCUAACAGUGGUAUCAGAGCCAUUGAUUGAAGUUUUUUGGUGUCGGGGCACUGCUCACGUAUACGGUACUGUUUACGUAUACGGUACUAUUCACGUGAAGCAGUGGGAGCCAAUCCAAACAGUUCGUGGUGAAGAGUAAAAGCUUAUCUGCAAAGCAAAUAUGUCAGGAUUGAAAUUUUCAAGUCCGGUGAAAUUUGAAAUAGAAAAAUUCGAUGGGAGAAUUAACUUUGGCUCGUGGCAAGUUCAAGUCAAAGAUGUGUUGAUUCAAUCUGGGUUACACAAGGCAUUGAAAGGGAAGCCAUCCCCUGCUUCCAGUAGUGGCUCUGGAAAAGCUAGUAUAAGUGAUGAAGAUUGGGAAGAAUUAGAUGAUCGAGCUGCAAGUGCCAUACGACUAUGUCUAGCAAAGAAUGUUCUUGCAAAUGUAGGAAAAAUUCCUACAGCGAAAGAACUUUGGGAGAAGCUAGAAAAGUUGUAUCAGACAAAGAGCAUCUCAAAUCGAUUGUACCUGAAGGAGCGAUUUCACACACUGCGAAUGGCUGAAGGUACAAAAAUUUCUGAUCACCUCAGUGUUCUCAAUGGUAUUGUGUCAGAACUAGAAGCCAUUGGAGUUAAAAUUGAAGAUGAGGACAAGGCGCUUAGGUUACUAUGGUCACUUCCAACUUCCUACAAACACUUGUUACCUACUUUGAUGUACGGGAAGGAGACAGUAGAUCUUGAAGAAGUUACUAGUACUUUACUCUCAGAAGAAAGAAGACUGAAUGGUGAAAGUACUAAAACUACAGAUGUCUCGGCUUUGGCAGUUGUAGGGAAUUGGCAGAAAGAUAAAUCUAAGAAGAAAGGAGUCUGCUGGGGGUGUGGACAAUCGGGGCACUUAAAAAGAGAUUGUCAUAGUAGAAAUAGAGUAGGAUCGGCAAGUGGCUCCAGAUUAGAUAUUGAUAGUAUUGCUAGUGGUAAGUCUCUCAUCAUCGUGGGAGACGAUGAUCCCUUAUAAAAUGGAUGAUGAUGACAUCCUCAUGGUAUACCGCUAGUACCAUGAAAGGGGAUAUGUUACUACUAGCGGGUCCACAAGAUUUACACACAAGGCAUGGUUGGCAUUGAUGCAGGGUGUGUGGUGGAAUUUAUGUCGAUGGCUGACAAACUUCCAGGAAGACCAACAUGGAAGUUGCACCAUAAAUUUCAGCAAGAUAUUUCGACAUGUGCCGAUGUAAAAUUCUUAGAAUUGUUAAUUAAUUCUAAGUGGUAUACUCUUUAUGGUGGAGUAUGAUAAUUCUCUAUGGUGAGGAUUAUGACUAAGGUGAAAAUAGUAAGGUUAGUGUGGAGAUUGAUUGAUUCUCAAUCAAAACUCCAAGUGGGAGAAUGUCAAAGUAUUUGGCUGCAGCUUCUAGAAGCUACAUCUAGAAGCUUUGAUGCAGCAAAUGUUGAAGGCACCGCCAAGGAGAAAAAGAAGGAAGAAUGAAGAAGAUGUUGCAGAAGUUGAUCUUGACAAAUGAUGGUUGGAACGCCAAAAUGGAAGAAAGAAAAAGGUUGGAACACGGCUUUGAAGAAGCCACGAGAAGAAUAAAGAAAAUAUUAAAAUAAUAGCCAAUUUUGGCUAUAUAAAGGAAGCUCCCCUUUUUUUGGUUUGUGUAUCCAAUCCUCAGUUUCUCUUCUUCAUUCAGAGAGUGUUUCUUUGGGGUGUAUUUGAGGAUUAGGUGAGAGAAAAUUAUUUCUGAAAGAGUGGUUAUAAUAAUUUUCCACAUAGUGAAUAUUUUUUCUCUGGUUGUCUUUUUGACAACGGCCGUGGUUUUUCUCCAGAUUUAGAGUUUUCCACGUAAAUUUUGUGUUGUGGGAUUGAUAUUAUUUUUCAUUUAAUUUUUCUUGUUAAUUUGUUAAUUGACAAAUUGCUUGGAGAGAUCCUGGGAGGAAGCUCAAUUUCCUAACAGACAGCAGAUACAUUUUCAUUGAGCAGACACUGUUAGCAUUCAAGAUGCUGGCAGAUUCACUUGAUUCUUAUUAGUUUGUUUAGUGGCAAAGCAUAUAACCUGUAUUUCAAAGCCAAGUUGUGCUAUUGAUUAUGUUAACUUUAUUGUUAACCUAAAGUGAUAUGGAGGACAUAAUCAAUGUAGGAAAAUUAGGUGAAGAGACGAUGUCAACUCUUGAACCUCUUACAAAGCUCCAAGUUCUUUACUUGAAGAAGCUGCCAAAUUUGAAGAGCGUCUACUGGAAGGCAUUUCCAUUCCCAGAUGUAUGCAGAAUUUUUGUAUUAAUGCCCAGUUCUUAAGAACCUGCCACUGGAUUUUCAAGGGACGGGCCAAGGUAAAAUUCUUAUCAAGGGAAAGGAAGAUUGGUGGAAAGAACUUCAAUGGGAGGAUCAAGCAACUCAGAAUGCAUUGCUUCCAUUUUUCAAAUCAACUGACAAGUGAUUGAAGGGGGCAUCAUCAACAUCAUCAACAGAGAUGGAGAGAUUCUGGAGCAGAUCAGCAGGGUUUGUAUAUGAUCUUUGGUGGUUGCUUUCUUUUGUGAUUUUUUUUUUCUUCCUGUCAUUUUAUCAUUUCUUUGUCUCUUUUUCUAUUGCUGAUGUUAGUGUAUGCUUACUGUUGCUUGACAAAGUUUGCUUGCUUCUUGUUUAUUAAAUUUUUUAUGGUCACAAAAUAUUACUUGUUCUAUUUGAGAGUGAUGUGAAUCAAUUUUCAAUUAUAUAUUUUGUGGUCAAUGUGAAUUCAAUUUCAUUUGUCUCCUGCAAUUAUGAGAAAAUUGCAGAGUCAUAAUAUGGAAAAGAACACCAGCAAAAACUUUGUAAAAGCUUCGGAGUGAAACAGGGAAUUCACUUACUACUAAGAACAAUUGAUGGCGAGCUAUUCCAUUCAUUUUAUGUCCAUCCAUCUAUUUAAUUAUUAAAGAUAAGUGGUCCAUUUAUAAAUUUUAGAUUUUCUCUCUUUGAAAAUAACAAUAUGUAAAAUAUCUCUUAAAUUAUUAUAAAUUUUAAUUUACUCUCGAUUUAAAACGGAACAUGCUGAUGAAAUUUUUUUCUUCUUACUAAAAUUGAAAUAAAUUGUGUUUGCAGUAGUUUGAAAUAUUUUAAAGAUUAUUAUUUUAUAAGGGAGUAAUAUGAAAUGAAAUUUACUUUUCAUGCGUGAAAUGUUGAAAAAGGACAAAGGAAGUGUCCCUGCUUUUAUUUUAUUUCAAAGUGGAGUCAUCUCACAUACUUUAGCUCUAACAUUACAAUUUUUCAGGUUACAUUUUUAUUUAUUUAUUUUCUUUUUUACACAUGCAUGUGGGUUACUUUUCCGUAAGCUCCUUUAUAUAUAUUGAACCCUACGAAGAAUGUUAUGGAAGAGCAAAUGAUAUUUCUGAUAGACUCUAUUUGAUUAUGUAGCCUGAAUGGAUGUCUUGUUGAAAGAUAUUUCAGUGCAUUAGUUCAUCCUUGUCUCUCAAUGUGUUUUUAAUGGUUUUUCCAAUUGUUUAUUAUUAUAGAUUGAUUGUAAAUUGAUAUGAAUUUAAUGUUGAAAUGUUUUCUCUUUAGUGGAAUGAAUUUAAAAGUGCAAAAGAUUAUUGCACACGGAGAAAUAAACAUAUAUGCUUUAUAACUUUAGCAAUCGAUUCUUUUACAGCUGGAAACAGAGAUGAUGAUUAUCAUAAGGAUGAAGAAAAGGACAAAAAUUGUCAAUGAUUAACGAAAUCUCUAUGCAAAUUGAUUUUAGCAGGAAAAAAGUGAGCUAAAUGAUGGAGACGAUUAGUGGUAAUAUUUCAUAGAGUUCCUUCCAAUCUUCUCAUGAAUCCCCUUUUUGAGUUAUAUUUAUUUUAUUUUUAAAAUAUCUUUUUUCUCUUUUACUACACUUCUAAUUUUUCAUUUUUUUUUAUUGUUAAACUCAAAGUAGUAUUGUGAUAUUUUUUAUUUAUUUUGCAAUCUUAUUAUUACUCUACACUUAAGUUAAAAAGUUUUAUAGGUGAUGAAUUUUUGAAUGUUAAUCAUUAGCUUAAAUUUCACAUAUUUUACAUUAUAAUUUGAAAUUUAGUACCAAAAUAUUUAAUCAAUAAGAAUUAUGAAAAGAUUAAUAGAUUAUUCUAAAUUUAUACAACUUAUUUUAGUUAGAUCAGAAGUAGCAGGUUAAAAAAAGAAAAGAUUGGUUAUGAAAUUUGUUGGAAAAAAAUCUAUGUGUGUUUAAUUUUUAUUCGUUGUUAACUCUAAUUAAAUAGGUUAAAUAAUUUUGUUAUUUUUUACUUAUCAAAAAAUUUAAGAUCAAUAUUUUUAGUUACCAUUUGAAGGAUAUUAUGACAAAAACAAAAUUUUCAUGUCUUUGUUAAAAAUUUGGGGGUUUGUAUAACUAUUUUUUCAAAUGUUAGGGGCAUAACUGUCUUUUUACUCUUAUAUAUAUGAACCAUGGUGGUGAAAAAGCGUGAUUUAAUGUUAUUUAUUUAAAUAAUAUCUCAAUUAAAAAUGUAAGCAGAAGAAAUUUUGGUGGGUAUUUUAGUCUUCUAACGAUUAUCAUGAUUAGGCCCUGGUCUUGAAACGUUGGUCAGAAAAAUUUUAAAAUGCGUUCAUUGUCUUUACUUUAAAAACGUUAUUUUAUUUUAUUUUAUUACAAAUUAAUGCCAACAAGAAAAAGCAAGAUCUAAUAUUCCACAAAAGGAAAUCGUAAUAUUCCAUAAAAGCAAAUAACCAGCUGGAUUCUUUUAUUGAACUACAAAUUAAAGUGGAAUCUUUUAUUAAACAACAAAUUAAAGUUCAAAUAUUUAAAUAGUAGUGCGUUAGACGAUUAGGCUCUCUUAUUAAAGGCAAGUAUAAAGUAGUCAAGAAUCGAACAUCUCUAUUGUCUAGUCUUUUUUUUUUAAUUCUUCUUUUAUUAUUUUUCAGAAUAGGUUUUGGUGAUUACUAUUGGGUUAUUAUUCAGAGUUAUUGUUAUCUUCCGGGGCAGUUUCUGUUAAUCGAAAUCGUUAAUUAAAAUUUUAGAACUCUUAUGGGAAGAAUGUUUUUCUGUUAUCUUUUUUAUAUUCUAAUUUCAACUGUAAGGAGUCGUUUUAGAAUUUGGGUCUGGAAUCGAAUUUCAAUGCAUGAAUUAAUAUUUUUAAAAAAAAUUACUACACGCAGUUUAGGUUACAAACUAUUUUUUGCAAAGUUGACUAUGAAAUUGGAGAAAUUAAGUAAUUUAUAAUGUUUGCAAAGGAAGAGACUAACAUACUUCCAAUUACACUAUCUCUCUAUUAUCAUAAUAUUAAGACUAAAGUAACUUUAAAUAAAUUUUAUUUGAAAAGUUAUAUCAAAUGCAGUCUAAUUUUAUUAACUUGAAGAGUUAAUAAUUAUAGAAAUUAUUGUUCUAACUUAAUUAGUACAAGUGGUAUAAAGGUUAAGUGUGCACUAAAUCUGUUUAAAUUUUUUCCAGAAUAACUAACAGAGGUCAUUACUAGAAUUAUAAUUACUAGUCUAUUAGAUAGAAAAAAUUAUUUAUAUUGUUUUAUAUUUAUUAAAAAAUUUUAAAGUCAAUCUUUUUAAUUACUAUUUAAAAAAUAUUAUAAUUAAAAAAAUUUAAUGUCUUUAUUAAAAAUUUAAAAAUUUACAUGACCGUUCUAUAAAUAUUUAAAGUGUAACUGUCAUUUUCUCAUAUAUAUAUAUAUAAAUCACGGUGGUGAAGCUUUAUUUAAUAUUAAUGAUUUAAAUAAUAAUAUCUCAAUUAAAAAUGUACAGAGAAUAAAUUUCGGUGGGUAUAUUAGUCUUUUACAAUUAUCAUGAUUAGCCCUUCCUCUUGUAACGUAGGUCAGAAAAGUUUUAAAAUGCCUUGAUUUCAAUUUCUGCUUUAUAUUUUUCCCCGUAUAAUGGGGAGAGGUCAUUACUAAAAUUUCUCUUCCACAGCAAUUACAGCAGCUUCAGUUAAUCAAACUCAAAUCAAUUUUCUUUCUUAACAAAAUUCCAAAGAUGUGUAGCAUUUUUCAGAUCACAUGCGAUGGUGCUCUUUUCAAUCGUUGCUUGGAUUGCUUUCUCGGAAAAGCAGCAUACAUAAGCAACCUCCAAGAUAAUCUUGAUGCCUUGGACACUGAACUGGGAAGACUAAUCGCAGCAAAGAACGAUGUGAUGAUGAGGGUUGUCAAUGCUGAACGGCAACAAAUGAGAAGGCUGGACGGAGUGCAAGUGUGGGUUUCGAGGGUGGAUGCUGUUAAAACUGGAGCCGAUGAAUUGAUGAGGCACAGCUCUCAAGAAAUUGACAAAUUAUGUGUUGGAGGCUACUGUUCCAAGAACUGCAGGUCAAGCUACAAGUUCGGAAAACAAGUGGCUAAAAAGCUACAAGAUGUGAAGACUUUAAUCGCCGAGGGAGUUUUUGAGGCGGUGGCCACUGAGGUGGUGCCCGAGAGAGCUCCGGAACCUGUAGCAGAUAAAAGACCCAUUGAGCCAACAAUAGUAGGCUUGCAAUCACAGCUUGAAGAAGUUUGGAGAUGUCUUGUAGAAGAAUCAGUGGGAAUCAUUGGCCUAUAUGGUAUGGGCGGUGUUGGUAAAACCACACUAUUGACCCAUAUCAACAAUAAAUUUCUUGAGAGUCCCACAAACUUUGAUUGUGUGAUUUGGGUCGUAGUUUCAAAAGACCUGCGACUUGAAAAAAUUCAAGAAGAUAUUGGGAAGAAGAUAGGUCUAUCUGAUGAUUCAUGGAAGAAUAAAAGUUUUGAAGAGAAAGCUGUGGACAUCCUGCUGAGAUUAGGAGAGAAGAGAUUUGUAUUGUUGUUAGAUGAUUUAUGGGAGCGGGUUGAUUUAACAAAAGUGGGCGUUCCACUUCCCAGCGCACAAAAUACUACCUCAAAAGUCGUAUUCACAACCCGUUCCAUUGGUGUUUGUGGCAGCAUGAGAGCUAGGCCGGUUAAAGUGGCAUGCCUAUCAGAAAAGCAAGCUUGGGAACUGUUCCGCGAAAAUGUUGGGGAAGAAACUCUUGAGAGUGAUCAUGAGAUCGUUGAGCUAGCCCAAACUGUGGCCAAAGAGUGUGGUGGUUUGCCACUCGCACUUAUUACUAUUGGUCGAGCUAUGGCCUACAGAAAGAAAGCGGAGCAGUGGAGACGUGCAAUUGAAGAGUUAAGAAGAUCAGCUUCAGAGUUUGCAGGUUUGGGAAAAGAGGUGUAUCCUCUUUUAAAGUUUAGCUAUGAUAGUUUGCAGAAUGAUACAAUUAGAUCUUGUUUCUUGUAUUGUUGUUUAUAUCCUGAAGAUUAUGGCAUUCUUAAAUGGGACUUAAUUGAUUGUUGGAUUGGUGAGGGAUUUUUGGGGGAAUCUGACAGGUUUGGUGCAGAAAACCAAGGAUAUGACAUUUUGGACACUCUUGUUCGUGCAUGUUUAUUAGAAGAGGUGGAAGAUGAUAAAGUAAAAAUGCAUGAUGUUAUUCGUGAUAUGGCUCUAUGGAUAGCUUGUGAAAUUGAGAAGGAGAAGAGAAACUUUUUGGUUUGUGCAGGUGCUGGAUUAAAAGAGGCACCGGAUGUUAAAGGAUGGGAAAAUGUGAGAAGAUUGUCAUUGAUGCAAAACCAAAUUAAAACUCUGUCAGAGGUUCCUACAUGCCCUCAUCUCCAUACUCUAUUUCUUGACUUUAAUAAGGAGUUGGAGAUGAUCGCGGAUGGCUUCUUCCAAUUUAUGCCUUCUCUCAAAGUUUUGAAGAUGUCAAACUGCUGGAAUUUUCAAUUACCUGUUGGGAUGUCAGAGUUGGGUUCAUCACUAGAACUUCUUGAUAUUUCACAUACCCGAAUACAAGAGUUACCAGAAGAGUUAAAGUUGUUGGUAAAUCUGAAAUGUUUGAAUUUGAG
rnacentral:lncRNA from 1 species